AACGAACGCUGGCGGCAUGCCUAACACAUGCCAGUCGAACGAGACCUUCGGGUCUAGUGGCGCACGGGUGCGUAACGCGUGGGAACCUGCCCUUAGGUUCGGAAUAACUCAGAGAAAUUUGAGCUAAUACCGGAUGAUGUCUUCGGACCAAAGAUUUAUCGCCUUUAGAUGGGCCCGCGUUGGAUUAGCUAGUUGGUGGGGUAAAGGCCUACCAAGGCGACGAUCCAUAGCUGGUCUGAGAGGAUGAUCAGCCACACUGGGACUGAGACACGGCCCAGACUCCUACGGGAGGCAGCAGUGGGGAAUAUUGGACAAUGGGCGAAAGCCUGAUCCAGCAAUGCCGCGUGAGUGAUGAAGGCCUUAGGGUUGUAAAGCUCUUUUACCCGAGAUGAUAAUGACAGUAUCGGGAGAAUAAGCUCCGGCUAACUCCGUG
rnacentral:rRNA from 1 species